AUCAAAACAAAUCAGAUGACUAAAACUUGACUAAAACUAAAAAGAAUUAUAGUCAAAAGACUAAGACUAAAACUAAAUUAAAAUUUCGUGUCAAAAUUAACACUGCCUUGCUGUAGUCAACGCCUGGCUCCUCUACAAGCAGCACAGCCUAUGCUCUCAGAAUGCCAAAGAAGGAGAUACUGAACAUGAGAAAGUUCCAAGCACAGCUGGCUUCCUCUCUCAUUACGAGGACAGGAACCAUUUCUGGGAUUACCACUAUAAGUAAAGGUGGACUUCACGCUGAGCACACAGAUUUCAGUGGAGAGUGAGAGAACACUGCAGACAUUGCACUGUUAACAAUCUUGAUGGGCACCUCUUCGGACCUGACGUGCUACCCAGCUACGCAAACGCAGCUAAGUGGAUGUACUCUCUUGUGAUUGGCCAGAGUGAUCACGAGUCUACGGAUGUUUGGGUCUCAUUGCUGAAAGAGUGCAUGAAUCGGUGGAAAAACCCCAGCCCCCCUGUGCUGCCAGCUUCUCCAAGCCCCGUGCUCCCUCUUUUGCCAAAACCACCCUGAGAACGACCAACAACUGGCUGAAGGAAGAGCUGCAACAGGUUAACGAAAGGCAGAAAGCAACGAAGGAGUGCCUGCUCAGAUGCAUUCUGUUUAGUUUUGCUUUUUAACUUUAUAGUUAACUGUUUUGAUUGCAUUCUUUUUUCUUUGCGUGUUGUAUUUAUUAAACUGAGUGGUUUGCAGUGGCUCAUUGUACUUCUGACGGCAUUACAUUAUAAUUCUGUAAAAGAAACUGCAACAGGAUGCUUUUACCCUAAACUCGAGUAUACACACAGAACUCUCUCACUUAAAGCAAUUUUAUUCUUGCAUUUCACAAAAUAAUAAUAAUAAUAAUAAUAAUAAUAAAAACAAUAAUAAUGAUAAUAUUUUCUAUUUAUAAGGCACUUUUAAAAGGUCAUUGAAUAAAGUCAGCUGCAUGUGGAGGUUUGAGUUUUUCAACUGUUCUCUGUACACGUCUGUUGUUGGAGGAAAUGCAAGCAUUUUUCCCUGAGUAACUCCAUAAAGUGUUAAAGAUUUUUUUUUUUUUUUUAAAUACAACAGACUUCUUAUUGAUAUAAAGGUGAUGAUGCCAGUCUUUCCCCAACCCUAAAACCUGCGACAAUGCAGGCUCACAAGGUCUGUUCCUGCAACAGCUUCUUUCAAGCCACUGUCAGGCUUGUGGCACCAGACAAUAAGGAGGGACAGACAUAUUUCAAGUGUUGAGUCAAGGAAGCAAAGUAAAAGCCCUUAAAAAUAAAUGAGCAGCUCUGGCCCAAAAGAGAGUGCAAGCCCCAAA